UGAGGUCAUAUGGUUUGUAUCUUUCUCUGACUUAUUUCGCUUAGCAUUAUACUCUCCUGCUUCAUCCACAUUGUUGCAAAUGACAAGAUUUCAUUCUUUUUUUACAGUGGAAUAAUAUAUGCCACCUCUUAUUUGUCCAUUCCUCUGUUGAUGCACCCUUGGGCUGAUUCCAUAGUGUGGCUAUUUGGCUACACCAGUUUGCAUUCCCACCAACGGUGCAAGAGAAACGAGUGAACUUCUUGAACAUUCCAUCUAUAUGAGUUGAGUGCUUGUAAGUGACACAAACAUGGCCAUUGAAAGUCCACUCAAUCAUCUAAGGUCAGUGUCAACGUCACCCUGUACCUAGUGCCUGAAGUUUUUUCACAUGACUCCCACUCCUAUCUCCCCAGGCUGGGGAACUGCAUACCUUAUCACAUCCUUGAAGAGCCCAGCUCAGGCUCAGCUGAAGCUUUCUCAUCUAAUGGACCAUUUGCUGGGAUGGGUUAGACUGGAGGGUCAAGCCCAGCAGGGGUCAAGAGGAAAGAGCGAAUAGGGAUAGAUAUUAGGAAUAAUAAUUAUGAUACUGAUGUUUACUUGAGUGCUUACCAGUGUGCUAGGUAUUGUGUAACCAACUGAUGAAGUGAAUAAUAUCAUCAUUCCCAUUUUACAGAUGAGGAAAUAAGUUCAAUUGAAAUUGUCAAUUGCUCAGGAUCACUUGACCAGUAAGUGGUAGAAGCUAACACUGAAAGCAAGUCUAUUUGACUCCGAAGUCUUUUAAAAGAGAAGGAACGAGAGGGCAUUGAGGGGACGGCCCCAUCUCUGGUGACAUUUCAGAUAUCAGCCAUUAGAAACGACCAAUACCUACAAUUUGCUUCAACCUGGAUGGAACUGGAG